AGAGUGAGCCAAGUCGAGAAUGUAUUCGGAUUACCCACUCGAAAGAAGGUUGGCCGCAUAGCCAGCCAAGCGUUUAACGUGACAAAAAUGAUGAGUUGGGGCAACCAACUACAAACAUAAAAAUCGGAAAUAUAUGACAAGACUUCUGCUGACAUAAAGGUCCAAGAAACUCACUGACAAAGUCCGAAAGACAAUUCAUUGACUGAUAGACAUAAUCCUUGUUUUUGAACAUGAUACCACUUGUAGUGUUAAAUACCGAACGAGUAUCGACGGAAACAACGAUGCAAUAGCGAACUACGGAGCAUUCACCCCACACAUAUACACAGAUUUUUGACAAAUUUGUGCACCAUAAAUUUCAGUUGUAAAGCAGCAGAAGCCACUAUGAAAAUUGACAGCAGAAACGGCAGGUGGAGGAGGAGUUGAAAGGCAGCAAAUAAAUUUCAUAAUUUCGGGCGCCAUGGGAAAUAAAAGCAAGACCCCCGGGCACAUUCCGCAAACUGGAUAUGGUGAGAACAAUAAAUUGAAUAUCAUUUGUUUAUUCGGUCCAAUGCCUUUGUCAACUGACAUGGACGCCGUCGCCAAUGCCGUCCAAACGCACACAAACGCACACAUGAGCUGGCGCAUAAAAUGUAAUAAAAUGCGAGCAUUGCAGGUGUCAACCCAAAAACCGACGACCAACUGUCCACUGCGAGAAGCCCAGAGAUGCAACAACGGGAGAUGAAGCGCAGCGUUCCGAAGGCCACACUUUGAGGCCAAAAAUAUGCAACACAGCACACGCACGAUUGCACUGCGAGAAAACUGGUCUGAAACUGCAGCCACACCAUAAAGAAUGCCAUUCACUUUUUGUAUUUAAGAUUUUUAUAGAAAAUUCAUUGUCUUCACAAGGUGCCUUUCGAUUAGCGUUUAAGUUCUGUACUGGAACAAAUUUCGGAUGUAAAUGAAAGUAGAAUCUCGUAAGUGACAAA